CUUCGGGGAAAGACGAGAAAGAGGAAGUUCCGACGAGCUGCUUCCUUCUCUCACUAGGACCCACUUCCUCUUCCUACUUCUAUUUUCUUUUUCUUUUUUUUUUUUUGAGACGGAGUCUCGCUCUGUCGCCCGGGCUGGAGUGCAGUGGCACGAUCUUGGCUCACCGCAACCUCCGCCUCCCGGAUUCAAGCAAUGCUCCUGCCUCAGCCUCCUUAGUAGCUGGGAUUACAGGCGCGCGCCACCUCGCCCAAUUUUUUGUAUUUUUACUAGAGACGGGGUGUCACCAUGUUGGCCAGUAUGGUGUGGAUCUCUUGACCUCGUGAUCCGCCCACCUCGGCCUCCCAAAGUUCUGGAAUUGCAGGCAGACGUUGCAGAUGAUGCUCUACCAAGAGUUGGAAGGACUCCUCAGGGAAUCCCACGAGACUCUGCUUUUCCUGUGCCUCCUUUCCCUCGUUUACAAAAUAGGGAUAAGAAGGUUGGCUACUGCUUGGACAGCCCUCGCGAUGGAAGAGUAGCACUUCAUUUGAGGGUUAACAAAGGGCAACGCUGAAAUCUCCACUUCCACUAUUGAAUGGAACUCUGUGUCGUAAUAUCUGUUAGAGGCAUGCAAACUCGGCCACAAGGUCAUGGUCAUACGUUAUUGCUGGCCAAAAGCCGCAACCCUACCUGAGGCUUUGAGAAAUAUGAACACCAAUGACUUGUUUUCCUGACUCCCGAAAUACCAAGAAAAAGCAACUUCCCCAAAUGGACAGAAACAGAAAGUACCCUUGGUUGAACACACAGGCCUGGUUCCAGCCAUCGUUAGAAGUGGGAAGGAACUCAGACCCCCUCUCCUACCUCAUCCCCCACCCCUCCCCAACACGUCACCCUUUCACAGAGAAGGAACCAGAGACACCAAGGACUGAGAGAGGACUUGAUAAGGAUUCUAGUGUCCUGUCUCCCCUGUCCGCACCUUUUCCACCACAAAAAUAUGGACAUUGGAGGAAGAGGAGAAGACUGAAGGUACACACCGUGCAAAGGAAGAAAAUGGCAGAACUGUUCUGGAACCAGGAAUUCAGGAGCAAGAAUGACACAGUGUGUGCCAGAUGGAAAUGUUGGAUUAGGAGAGCACUUGGAAAGGUGGGAGCAUGCAGCAGUGAAACCUGA
rnacentral:lncRNA from 1 species